GUGGCAGAUGGCAGUUGUUUUGAUCUUCUCUUAAACGAAGAAUGAACCUCUGGAUGUGAUAUUUGCGUAAAUUUGGCUUAUAAUUGUCUGUCAGUGUUGAGAAAUAUGAACAGUGAACUUAAUAAUUUUAGUUUUCGUUGUGUGUAUGUGUCGAAAGGACAAAUAUACAAUUAAUCAGGAUGUUAUUGGCCUUGGUUCAACCUUGCGUCAAAUAUAGGUUAGGAAUCUGAACUACGAUAACACGUGAGGCCGGCUCGUUAUAUUUUGGAGCGAGUAUGCAGCCUUCCAGGAAGAAGUAGCUGUUCGACAAGCAGCCGACUUGAAGAAACCUGUCAGCAAUAUUCAGCAGCCUGGUGUUUUCAGAUUCAACUCGAUUGCAA